rnacentral:rRNA from 1 species
CCUACGGGAGGCUGCAGUGGGGAAUAUUGCACAAUGGGCGAAAGCCUGAUGCAGCAACGCCGCGUGAAGGAAGAAGGGUUUCGGCUCGUAAACUUCUAUCAACAGGGACGAAAGAAAUGACGGUACCUGCAUAAGAAGCCCCGGCUAACUACGUGCCAGCAGCCGCGGUAAUACGGAGGGGGCAAGCGUUAUCCGGAAUUACUGGGUGUAAAGGGUGAGUAGGCGGCAUGGUAAGCCAGAUGUGAAAGCCUUGGGCUUAACCCGAGGAUUGCAGUUGGAACUAACAAGCUAGAGUGCAGGAAGGGAUAGCGGAAUUCCUAGUGUAGCGGUGAAAUGCGUAGAUAUUAGGAAGAACACCAGUGGCGAAGGCGAGUGUCUGGACUGAAACUGACGCUGAGGCACGAAAGCGUGGGGAGCGAACAGGAUUAGAUACCCGGGUAGUC